GACGUAGGGCGCGAGCGUUGUCCGGAAUCAUUGGGCGUAAAGCGCGCGUAGGCGGCCCGGUAAGUCCGCUGUGAAAGUCAAAGGCUCAACCUUUGAAUGUCAGCGGAUACUGCCGGGCUAGAGUCCGGAAGAGGCGAGUGGAAUUCCUGGUGUAGCGGUGGAAUGCGCAGAUAUCAGGAGGAACACCGGUGGCGAAGGCAGCUCGCUGGGACGGUACUGACGCUGAGACGCGAAAGCGUGGGGAGCAAACAGG
rnacentral:rRNA from 1 species